CCCAAACGAAGGUUUUGGCCCUCCGUCGAAGGUUUGGCAAGCUAGCCGACAUCCACAGGUUGGGAAGGGCAAAGCAACCGAUGAAGGCUUGACGAGCUAACCAACGUCCACAGGUCAAGACAACCCAAGCAGAGGUUCCGACCCUCGUGCCAAAGACUUUGUGAGCUAGCCGAUCUCUCCAUGUCGGGAUGGCCCAAGUGAAGGUUUCAGUCCUCGCAUCGAAGGCUUGAUGAGCUAAUCGACUCCUACAGGUCGAGAUAGCCAGAGCGUUAGUUUUGGUCCUCGCGCCGAAGACUUGACGAGCUAACCAACCCUUACAAGUCGAGAUAGCACAAGAGGAGGUUCUAGCCCUCAUACCGAAAGCUCGACAAGCUGACCGACUCCUACAGGUCGGGACAACCCAAGCAGAAGUUCUAGCCCUCACGUCGAAGACUUGGCGAGCUAACUGAUCUCUCUAGACCGAGAUGACCCAAAUGGAGGUUUCAGCUCUCGUGUCGAAGACUUGGCGAGCUAAUUAACUCUCUAGAUCAAAACGACCCAAGUGGAGGUUCCAGCCUUUGCACUGAAGCUUUGGCGAGCUAACCGACCUCUUUAGCUCGAGAUGGCCUAAGUAGAGAUACCGGCUUCCGAGCCAAGGACUUGGUGAGCAAAUCGACUUCCUCAGAUUGGGACAAUUCGGAAGAUCCAAGCUCUCCACCUC
rnacentral:lncRNA from 1 species